rnacentral:rRNA from 1 species
AAGUGGAGAAGGGUUCCAUGUGAACAGCAGUUGAACAUGGGUCAGUCGGUCCUAAGGGAUAGGCGAAGGCCGUUCGGAAGGGGGGGGCGAUGGCCUCCGUCGCCCCCGUGUCGAUCGAAAGGGAAUCGGGUCCAGAUCCCCGAACCCGGAGUGGCGGAGACGGGCGCCGCGAGGCGCCCAGUGCGGUAACGCAAACGAACCCGGAGAAGCUGGCGGGGGCCCCGGGAAGAGUUCUCUUUUCUUUGUGAAGGGCCGGGCGCCCUGGAAUGGGUUCGUCCCGAGAUAGGGGCCCACGCCCUGGAAAGCGCCGCGGUUCCGGCGGCGUCCGGUGAGCUCUCGUCGGCCCUUGAAAAUCCGGGGGAGAAGGUGUAAGUCUCGCGCCGGGCCGUACCCAUAUCCGCAGCAGGUCUCCAAGGUGAACAGCCUCUGGCAUGUUGGAUCAAGGCAUGUAAGGGAAGUCGGCAAGUCAGAUCCGUAACUUCGGGAUAAGGAUUGGCUCU